GAUGAACGCUGGCGGCGUGCUUAACACAUGCCAGUCGAACGAGAAGUGAAGACGGAAACCUUCGUGCGGAAGGCUUUAUUUCGAGUGGCGGACGGUUGAGUAACGCCUGGGUAACCUGCCUCAUACAGGGGGAUAACAGUUGGAAACGACUGUUAAUACCGCAUAAGACCACAGCACCGCAUGGUGCGGGGGUAAAAACUCCGGUGGUAUGAGAUGGACCCGCGUUCGAUUAGCCAGUUGGCGGGGUAACGGCCCACCACAGCGACGAUCGAUAGCCGAUCAGAGAGGAAGAGCGCACACAUCGGGACUGAGCAACAGCGCAGACUCCUACGGGAGGCAGCAGAGGGGAAUAUAGCAAAAUGGGGGAAACGCUGAUGCAGCGACGCUGCGUGAGUGAAGAAGUAUUGCAGUAUGUAAAGCUCGAUCAGCAGGGAAGAAAAUGACGGUACCUGAGUAAGAAGCCCCGGCUAACUACGUG
rnacentral:rRNA from 1 species